UGCCCCAGAACAUAAUGUCAACAGCUUAAUGAUUUGGCAUCUGUUAUGUCAAUACUGGUUAGAGCAAUAGGUCUGGGGGUGACGGAGGCAGAGGUGAAUCAGAGUGAGUUUCAUAUUUAAACAUCACUCCAUGAGAAUGGUUUAUAUUUUUCUCCAAACAGAGCGAGAAAGAUGUUGUUUGCUCAUUUAGUGUUAUUAUGGGAACAAAUCAUUAAACACUAUAGAUUUUGUUUUCCUUAAACCAGAUGGAAUCAUGGUUUCAUGGAAACUGGGGAUAAUAAUGCCCACAUGGACGGCUGAUUGCUCUUGGCAAGACAACUCCUCUGAACUCCAGACCAGCGUAGGCCAGAUGUGGGCACGUGGACACCACUGACAACAAGAGAAGCCUCUUGCCCUCCUUUCAAACCAAGGCUCAGCUCCUCCAGAGACAGGAAGCGAGGACUUCCCCAGCCCCACGACCCUCAGGAAUGUCCGCAGCCAUACUGAAGCCCUGAAUGCUCCCUCACGGAUGAAAAGCAGCUUGUCUUUUGUCAUUGGAAGGCAAAGAAGAAAAACAACAACAACUAAGUCAUUAAAACAAAUACCAGGGAACGUACAGGAGGUUGGCACUCCGUACGCGAGCUGGAGGCACUGAGCUAGCAACUUGACGAAGAUUACCUCACAGUCACUCGGUGAGAGAAUGGAGUCAGUCUGCGUGGGUUCAAAUCCCAGUUCAGCUUCCGCAAGCCACGAGACCUUGGGGAAGAUGGUCCACCUCUCUGUGCCUCUGUUUCCGUAACUGUACAGCAAGCCUCAUGAAAGUACACACUCCAGAGCGCCAGUGUCAGGAAUAAGUAUAUUCAUGUACGCAAAGUGCUCGGAGUGCCAUCGGGGAUACCUGAAGAGCUGCGGGGAUAUUACUUCACAGAGUCGUCAGGUCACAGAAACUGAACUUGGCCAGUCGUCACAGCAAAUAUUAGCACUACUGUUACUAUUCACUGAGCCUUCUUCAGAAUCCCAGAUGUGCAGACUGAAGCAGCAAUCGAUACCAUCGAUACUCUGGUCUCUCCUCCUGUUACCUCUUCACGCCGAUAAUUCCCACCAAGAAGUCACACUUUUCUUUCAUGGGUAUUUGUAUUUCUUCUACCUCUGUCCCCAAGAUGUCACCCCUCCUUCUAGUCUUUACCUGAGGUGCUACAACAAAUUUAGGGACUUAGAAGCAUCUUGCAAAAUGAGAAGUAGGUGGAUCCAAAGAAGUGGGCCCAAAUGCGUGUUGAAUGCAUGUUUAUCUGCUUCAGUAGACAGUGGAUCCUGUUCAAGAACUACCAUCCUCGUGUGUAAGCAUCGCCCUCCAUGGCCUCUCCCCAGGGUUUUGUGUUGCCAGAAGCUCUUAGGAGCUGUUGUAGUGCAGAGAGCAAAAAGGGGAAAAGGAUAGGAAGUACCCCGACUGGUACUAGAGAGGGUUUUCUCCAACAUUUCAGCAGAAAGAGAAGCUAGAGCAUGUUUGGGGUAAGAAGGAAACAGAUGGAAGAGAAGAGGAGGACUGUGAGCAGUGUGGCCCAGACAUGUCUCUCCUUCACGAUGGUCAAGAAGCACAAAUAAAGGACAGAAGUUAAAUAGAGUUGCUUUGUGGGGGCUGGACUGUCUUUCGUGUAGCACGGCCUUACUCUGUGACCGGACUGCAGGGGCCCCAGAGUCAGUAGAGUCAUAAGACAUUUUUGCAGAGUUUGACAUUAGUCUUCCAGUCAAAUCAAGGAGCUUAUUUGAAAAUUCAAGUCAACGCUUGCCGUGUUUGUUCAGCUGAGGGACAGGAUCAAGGACUACAUCUGGGGCAACAGGUGUAGAAAAGCCACGAGAAAGGCCGGCAGAUUCCCAAGAUGAGGCAGCACCCGUGCUUGGUUCUUGGCUCUGUAAAUGCUGAACAAACCAAGAGGAGUGCAGCCAGCAUGGAGGCAGACUUCCCUAAGCCCAGACUCUCAGCACGGUCUCCUCCUCUUGCGAUGAAUCAACCAUCGCGGCCAUCUGAACGCCUUGGAGCCUGGACUGUUGGUCUCAUGUUAGGUUCUGGCUGGAAUUCAGAUUCACUCACAGCCUCCAGGCCUCUGAGCUCUGACUGAACCUUUCCUCACAGCCUGUUCAUGUCUCCUCCACGGUCAUCCCGCCUCCACCAGCCUUUUCCCAGGUCGCAGAGCCUGGCCCAGGAAAGCUUUAAAGAUCAUGUAGUACCACUCCCUCAUUUUAGACAGGAGGAAGCUUGAAAUCCCAUAGAUUUCCCCUCCUCUAGCACACGCUUUGCUAAGCUCAGAUGGUCACAGAAACUGAACUUGGCCAGUGGGACAGAGGGCUGGCAUUUCCCUGGAGGUGUGGAGUGAAAGAGAGGCAUCCUUUGCAUCCUUCGCAUCCUUCCCGUGAUGGGAAGACCUGGAAAGUGAAGUUCCUGAAGAACCUCCACUGGGCUCCCUUCCUCCCCCAGCCCUGGGAGUGGAGGGCAACAGGCAUUCAGGCAGGUGGAGACGCCCCGGGGCUGCCCGCUCUGCUCACUGCCGCAUUACCUCCCUGUGGCUUCCAGGGGGAACGCUGUGUUUCUCAGCAAUCCCCAGCACGAGGGCUCAAAGGUGAGCGACAUUGCACAAGAGGUGACUCAACCCUUUGGCUCAAGUCUCUGUCCUCUAUUAAAUGCAAAUAUCCUUGAACAAGAGGUGCCAUCAUGGGAGAGUAGAGAACCGAGUUCUAGUACCAGAUCCCCUGCCAGUACCCAAGAGACUACGGGCAGCAUCCUCACACCCGGUCACAGGACACCCUCUCUGAGGGAACGUCAAGGGCUGCCAGGAGUCCAAGGGGAACAGAUAAGAAUGAAUGACCCUCACACUUGACUGUGGUCUCUUCCAGAGGGUAGCUUAGGGGGGAAAUGGAGGCGAAGAGAAACUGGGAGGCUGUGAGCCCUGACAGGGAGCUCUACUCUCUGGCUGGGUAGGGGCCGCCCAACACAGUGAAGUCAGUGCUCACAGCUUAGGGCCAGCAACGUGACACUCUGGACAACCGUGUCCUGAGCCCUUAUGAGGAGGCAGCUCUGUUCCCAGAGAUGUGAUACCCUGAAUCCAAAGUCUCUAUCUCUUGAGAGGAGGCUGGAGAGAGGAUUCUGGGCUAGCUCCUCUCUCCUGCAUGAGACUAAGGGAUGAGCUAGCUGGAAGGUAGAGGUACCCAUCGCGUCCUUGAUAAUCCCUUAAUUACCGAACUAAUGCCCCCUGAAGAUUUUAUACCAUAAACACUGCUUGCCAGUUUUCUCCAGGAAAAGAUAAGAUGGCUACAAUUAUUUUUGUGGGGUCUUUUUGUUUUGUUGUUUCACUUCUGAGGGCCUACUCCUGUUUGAGUGUGAGUUUUACCCAUUUCAGGCAGAGGGGUCAUUUUGGCUUACUUGAGAGGGAGCUGAAUUAUGUUAGGCAGAGAAUUUUGUUGUAGUUGACCCUGUGCUUCACAUUGUGGUGUUGGUUGGCCUUGGCUUAGCUCAGGGGUUGAGUGAAAUAGAUAACUGCAAUGUUUCCUAGCCGCCCGGCAACUUUUCAACCCGUCUUUGCUCUAUUUGGGCAAUUCCAGCUUUAUGAGUCCUGCUUUUAUCAGGAAGAAUCCAGAAAGUCAGUUCCCAAACUCCUGUGCAAUUAGAGUGCAGGCAUCUGAAUCACAGUUACAUCUGACGAGAAGUGAGAACUUUAAAGAAAAAGGCUCUUGGGUGAAACCCAUUUUCCUGUCAAGGGGGGCGGCAGAGGUUUCUUUUAGAAGAAAUGGGACAGAAAUACUAUCAGUGGAGUGGCAGUGCUGGUGGCCUUUCUCCUCGGUGGCGGUGGCGCGGCUACCAAGCAGCAGCUCCUCCCCCACCCCGGGGGGUCCGUAGCGUGGAUUCAAAUGCUGUUCUGUGAGGUUGGUUCUCCAGGCUAAUUCUGUGAGCUAGCCAAUUUCCUUUCCAUAAGCUCCUUUCUGCUCACUUAUCAGAAUCAGCGUCUGUGGUUGGCAGCGGAGGGUCCUGAAGGACCCAGCAACCGACCGCUAACUCCAUCACCCCUUCCUAGAGACACUCGGAGCCCUGACAUGCUAGCCACAGCAGCUGCACCAGGAGACUCUCAUCUCAAACCUCGGCCCUCCCCAAUGUCUUUCCUGCCUAUAAGAUCCAGGCCUCCCCUACGUUCCUCUUGGACCUCUCCUCUCACAUUGCCAAGCUAACAGCCACCUUGCAGGAAAUGGAUGGGUGAAGAGGUGGUAUGUAAACCCCAUUGGACCACUUGGCCUGGUUUCAAAGAGGCACAAGUCCUCACUCCUGGAGACAGGGGCCAAGGGCUCCUCUAGGAUGGCUGCCUGCAAGGAAGCCACUCUGGGGGUUUCCAUUCAGGUUCCAAAUGCCUGGCCAUCAUUCUGUUCACAGAGCCUUUGAGGCCUUCUUGCUUAGAUAAUUCACCACUAGUCCAUGAUAGAAUCCAAAGAAAUGCCCAGUUAGCUAACUUCUGCUUGUCUCCAACCAGAAGUAUUUACAGAAUGUAAACUCCACAAGGACAGGGCUAUGUUCACUCACAGAAUAAUCCUAGCGCCUAGAACCAUUCUUGGCACAUAGUGGGGUUCUCCCUAAAUCACUGUUGAACAAAUUGUGAAUAAGUGAUAGAAAUUUUUUUAUACUGCAAACUCUCUACCAGAUAAUGGGCCUAAAACAUACUCUGGUAGGAAUAGACAAUACAGCUUUGGAAAUUUGGUAUGUCUUGAGAGUUUCACACACACAAAAUAUUUCUAUCUGCCUACUCUAGAUGCCUAUAGCUAUGGUAGGCUACCCAGUGUGAAACCAUAGCAGAGAAGACUGAUUUACCUCUGUGAUAUUUUUGGUACCAUUCACUAAUUAAAAUUUUUUUUUUUAAAGAUUUUAUUUAUUUAUUUGAGAGAGAGAAUGAGAUAGAGAGAGAGAGCAUGAGAGGGGAGAGGGUCAGAGGGAGAAGCAGGCCCCCCGCUGAGCAGGGAGCCCGAUGCGGGACUCGAUCCCGGGACUCCAGGACCAUGACCUGAGCCGAAGGCAGUCGCUUAACCAACUGAGCCACCCAGGUACCCCACUAAUUAAAAUUUGUUGGCACUUGAAAUACUUUUUUGAGGCAGCCUGCCAAACCCCCAAAUCUCUACUAUCUGAAAAGCACCUCAUCUUUAAAGACAAUGAAGGGGCAACGUGCAUAUUGACAACUUUAGUCAGCCUGGUCUUUAACAGUCAGCCUGGUCUUUGGCCAGCCUGGUCUUUAACACCUAUAUAAACUAAACAUAAGCCUCCCAAGGAUGCCACCCUCCUGUACAUGGUUUUCAAGGGAUUGUAGAGAGUCACAGAUCAGAGAAUUUUUAGUCUCUGGCUGAUACCAUGCUAAAAUGUUUGCAUGCAUCAUCACAUUUCUCUUUCAAGGCCUUUGAAGGAUGUAAGCCAUAUAAUAAUCUCCGGUUGGCAAAUGAAGAAAGUGAAACAUUAAAUUAUUUGCUAGUGGAUGGUGAUUCCAACCCAGUCCAGCUGACACCAGAGCCUACAGCACUAACCACUGAGUGUUCUGUAUCUGAUCCACCAGAGGGUUUCUGGGACUCCUCCAAUGUCUGUAUAUGGAAGCAAACAGUCAAAGAUGAUUGUCAUCCCCAAAUAUCUAGUUCCCCCUUUGAGUCUUACAGCACCUACUCGAGGCUCAAUGGGAGGCACUAUGAGAACUUACACAACCCAGUGACAGUCACUGUUUCUAGAACAUUAUUCUCUAGUCUUAUACCCUGACAGGCCCCAUCAUGCCCCAAAUGCAAACUUUUAAAACCUAGUAUCUCUAGAAAAUAUUCUGUGCACUCAUUCAAUAGAAUGCAAAGACUCACUCUUCUAUCUUAUCUUUUUGGUCAAAUAUUCUGUUCUCUUGUGUCACUCCAAGUGGAUCCAGUUUUGCAGUUUCUUUGAUGGAAAAGUUCUGGAUUGCCAAGUGGUAAAGGUUUGACAGCAAAAUCAUUUGUUUUAAUUCGCCAGAAGGAAAAACUUGGUCACCAUUACAUCAGCUAUUUCAGACUUAUCUUCUGUUUGCCAAAGCAAGUUUGCCUGAAUAGUUUAAACACUGGUGAGAAGUGGAGCGGGGUGGGCAGUGAGAUGGAAUCUCGCCUAAUUUCCAAUCCUUCACCUCUUAUCCAUCAAAGGAAGAAAGCAAUUUAGAGACUAUUUUAAAGAUAACAGACUCUCAGUCAUAGAGCUCUGUCACAGUAAGCUGUGAAUAAGUGAUUUUUCAGAUGCUUCAAAAAUACUGUGUGUGGAAAAACCUUUUUUUUCCUUAAAAAAAAUUUUUUUUAUUAUGAUAGUAAUGCUGUGGGAAAUGGCAGUUAAAGUCAUCAGGAAAAAGAAAAAGUAAAAAAAUACCAAGUAAAAUCUGAACUACCCUCUCCAUUUCCUGAAUCCAUUCUCUAGAAAUAAUCAAUAUUAAGAAUGUUCUAAUUACUUGAUUUUCCAUGAAUAUGUAAGCACAGAUGUAUAUAUUUUAUAGUAUUUGUAUAUAUGUGGAGAAGCUUUUUGUCGUUGUUCUAAGGCCUAGAUGUAAGCUAGGCUUUGUUGAGGUUAAGUUAACUAAUAGAGGCCCCUAUUUGAAAGUCUCUUAUCUAUACCUCCUUUUUUCACAAGUAUGACAUUUAUGGACAUUUCUCUACUUGGGCAGAGCACUGAGAACCCAGAAAUGAAGUGGAUGUUGGCCUAAGCUGUUUCCGUACUAGAGCUCUUGGCCAGGUCUAAUUGUGUUCUGUCCCGCUACCCAAAGUCAAACCUGAAAAUACAAACCUGAAUUUAUAGCCAACACUGGGUAAAUAAAUAAAUAAAUAAAAUACAACCCAGAAAACAAACAAACAAAAACCCCAUGAAAACAAUUUCCAUUUCUGGGGUGCUUGGGUGGCUCAGUCGGUUAAGCGACCUUCUCUUUGGUUUCAGCUCAGUCCGUGAUCUCAGGAUCAUGAGAUCAAGCUCCGCAUCAGGUUCAGUGCUUAGCUCGAGUCUGCUUGGGACUCUCUCUCCCUCUCCUUCUGUCCUUCUCCCCUGCGUGCACAUGCUCUCUACCUCUCCCCCUUCUAAAAUAAAUAAAUCUUUAAAAAUAUAAACAAAAAAACCCCCACAACAAUUUCCACUUCUUUGCCAGAACAGGAAGUUAUUGCUGAAUAGAGGAUAUUAAUGCUUAAGUUUAGUAGACAAGCGAAGAAAAAGUAACCCAGCACAACUGAGCCCAUUUUUUGGCGGGGGGAGGCAUUCACCUCCCAUCCUCACAGGGAGGUUGUUGAGCCAAGCAUAUCAGUAAAUGCCCAGCAAUGGAAAAUAGCCAAAUGUUCCCAGGGAGGGGGCUUUCUCACUAUCUUGGGCUCACCUAGGAAACCAGAUCUUAAUAAAGUCCCCGAUUACUUUGCCCAUGUCCACAACUUAGCCUUUUUCCUGGAACAGGAAAACAGCUGAGACUGUCAGGCAAGUCCUCCUUGCUCAUAUGAUUCCUUUCUUUUGGUUUCUUGUCCACUUUUUUGAAACCCAGGACCAAUUCCAGCCCUUCUUUACAAGGGUGGGGCCAACAAUUUGGUUUCAGUUUGAUUUAUCCCAGUACCUAACCCAGUAUGGAGUUCAAAUAAGAAUUUUAUAAACACUUUCUGAUGCCAACAUACGUGUCUUGCAAUCUAGACAUCUCGACAUAAUGUUAAACAAACAUUACCCACCACAAAAACCAAUUGGAUCCAUUUGUGGUUACUUCAGCCCUGGGUAGUUCCUUCUUGCAAGGUUCUGGCCUGAUACCCGUGGGAAGUAGCUUUUGACCCCAGUAGGCUGCUGGCUCAGUGAGUUAAAGCGGUCGCGGAAUCAUUUUCUGUUUUUCUCAGACCUGUAAUAUGAAGCUGGAAGGCCCAGCCCCUCCCUAGUGGGUGGCUCAACAUUCCUCCUCUGGCACUAAACUUACUUAUGACAGUUUCUGUUGAAAUUCUUUGGGUUGGCCCGGGUCGGGGGGAGUAGAUUCUCAACAAAACAAUGCACCAUCAAGAUGUGAUUCUCCUCAUUCACUUAGAGAUCCUGGAGGUAUUUGGGAGUGGGCUUUUCGAAUUCCAUCCUACAUGACCUUACCUCCCAUGACCUCUUGGAAAAGUUUCCCACCCUCCAUAAUACUUCCAACUACCCUGAAUAUAAGACAGAGAUGACACAGUGGUUGAUUCUCCAGCAUUCUCUAACCAAAGGUUCUAUAUGUUGCUCUUAUAUUACCCACAAUCCUAUCAUGGCCAAUAGUAGCAAUAGCUAAUGUUUAUCAAUCACUCGCUACAUAUACAAGGAAUUGUUAAGCCUUUUACAUGCCUAGUCUCAUUUCGUUCCCAUAACAACCCUGUGAGGUGGGUAUCCCUGUUAUUUCAUUUUGCAGACAGGGAAGUGAAGGAGCAGUUGGACAGACAACUUGCUCAAGGGCAUUCAGCUUAUAAAUGGCAGGACCACCACUAACUCUGGUCUGUCUGGCUCCAAAAGCCACGCUUUUGGUCAUGACCCUAAACUGUCAAGUCAGAGUUGACGAUAAGGAAAAGGAAUCUCGGUCUUAUAAUUGGCACUAGGUAUGUGACAUGUCAGAAUCAGAUGCAAGUUCUUAUUCAUUUUAAGGUCCCUCUCUUGUGCUCAUCUUCUCCCAUGCCCAGGAUGCUGAUAAGUGCACGUCUCCAGAUGGACAAGGUAAAAGAGUAAAGGAGUAGUUGAAAGAUGCAGAGCAGGGGGAAGGGAGAGAGGACAGGCAAGGGUGGAAAGGAUCCUCUUAUGGACAUAAAGAGAAUGUCCUCUGAACUCUCUAGAAAGGUCAGAUAGGGCCUGUCAGCUGGAGGAAUGAAGAUUUUAGUGUUUCCAAUCGGACCGGUGUUUUGACCAUGAGUUCCGGAGUAUCCAGCCACCAGCCCCAGAUACCUCAGGGGGUAGGGACAGCCAAAGUGGCCUGGUGGCCUCCACGGAGGGGGUGGUCGGUCCUACACUUGCUCGGCCUUUGCAGUCUCAAAGAGGUGUAUGCUUUUUGAGAGUUGACCAGACUCCCCAGCCCUGUCUCCGCCCUUAACCAUCCAAAAGAAACUCACAGAUGCCUCUCCCACCCACACUACCUCAGUCACACAUCGAAAGAGCGCACCAGUAGACAGCCUCAGCUUGCUGCCCGGAGGAGCUAAGGGCAGGGUGCCUGCCCCAGCAAGGUCUCAGCUUACCAAGACUUCUUUCCCUUUGCACCCCCCGCCCCCGAGUUCUGCAGGGCAUUUUGAGUGGCUUUUACGUUUUGGCAUAAAUAAUUAAAACUAGGUUAGCCUUGUCAGAAAUAAACACUUGCAGCUGCGAUAUAAUAUAGCCUUGGGGGUGUGUGUGUGCGUUUGUGUUUCUUGCUGAUACGUAAACCUUGCCCCAUGUAUGAGUCCACAUUCCAGGGGUCACAUUCCCAUAUCUGUUGGCGUAAACUGAAAGCACGGAACUGUCAGCUUCACUCCCUUCAACCGAGCAGCUCCCCGGACGCAGGGGCAAGCUGGCACUGCCAAUAUGCGGCCGUGGCUGCGAGCUGCGUGUCUAGGUUAAUAUUUGCUCAUGUUUAUAUCUUGCCUGAUAGGUGGAUGGAAUUUGCCAAAUGAUUGUGGUUCCCUGAAAAGUUAAUCAAUGUCUAAACGAACCAGUCACAGACCACCACAGAGGUGUAGUGAAGUUGAACUCUGAGUACCUGUUCCCAAGGGCCACGUCCCUGGGGUCAGAGCAACAAGAAAGCUGCAGCGAGCAGUGCAUGUGACCUGAAGAGCCCAGGCCUAUUGCUGCUGGGCUGUUGUACACUCUAUGGAAAGCUCUAGAAUCUGAACACAAGGGAUGCACCUCCUGGGCAUUAUAUGUGCCCUGUCCAACCAACAGGCCUAGCUACAGCCCUGCUUUCUUCAGGUCCCUUCAUCAUCCUGACCAGGGGACCUUUGUGCCCACUUCAUCAGGCCUGUUCAUCCUAGAGUUGUCAGCCAGAGGGGCACUUUUAUCCCUGCAAACAUAUACUGAGCUUACAUCAGGUGCAACACUUUGAGGACACUAAAGGGAAAAAGGUGACUGAGAUCCCAGCCCUAAA